CGCACCUAAAAGCGUUUUCUUGCCAGCCCAUUAAGUGCUCUCGAAAAUCGUAGAUGUGUGCCAUAGUAAGGCUCAGUUGCAAGUGAUUCUAUUCCCUCAAUGACAGAAUCACAUUAAGCUGUCUACAGAU